rnacentral:rRNA from 1 species
UGAGGAAUAUUGGUCAAUGGACGGAAGUCUGAACCAGCCAAGUAGCGUGCAGGAUGACGGCCCUAUGGGUUGUAAACUGCUUUUAUGUGGGAAUAAAGUGAGGGACGUGUCCCUUUUGUAGGUACCACAUGAAUAAGGACCGGCUAAUUCCGUGCCAGCAGCCGCGGUAAUACGGAAGGUCCGGGCGUUAUCCGGAUUUAUUGGGUUUAAAGGGAGCGUAGGCCGUCUUUUAAGCGUGUUGUGAAAUACUGUCGCUCAACGACAGAGGUGCAGCGCGAACUGGGAGACUUGAGUGCGCGGAAUGCAGGCGGAAUUCGUCGUGUAGCGGUGAAAUGCUUAGAUAUCACGAAGAACUCCGAUUGCGAAGGCAGCUUGCGGGAGUGCGACUGACGCUGAAGCUCGAAGGUGCGGGUAUCGAACAGGAUUAGAUACCCUGGUAGU